rnacentral:rRNA from 1 species
GAUGAACGCUAGCGACAGGCUUAACACAUGCAAGUCGAGGGGCAGCGGGGGUGAUGGCUUGCCAUCACCUGCCGGCGACCGGCGCACGGGUGAGUAACACGUAUGCAACCUGCCCGCCACAGGGGGAUAAGCGGAAGAAAUUCCGUCUAAUACCGCGUGACGCGGCGUCGGGGCAUCCCGGUGCCGCCAAAGGGAUUACCGGUGGCGGAUGGGCAUGCGGCGCAUUAGCUAGUCGGCGGGGUAACGGCCCACCGAGGCGACGAUGCGUAGGGGUUCUGAGAGGAAGGUCCCCCACACUGGUACUGAGACACGGACCAGACUCCUACGGGAGGCAGCAGUGAGGAAUAUUGGUCAAUGGGCGCGAGCCUGAACCAGCCAAGUCGCGUGAGGGAUGACGGUCCUACGGAUUGUAAACCUCUUUUGCCGGGGAGCAAGCGUGCGUUCGUGAACGCGCGUCGAGAGUACCCGGAGAAAAAGCAUCGGCUAACUCCGUGCCAGCAGCCGCGGUAAUACGGAGGAUGCGAGCGUUAUCCGGAUUUAUUGGGUUUAAAGGGUGCGUAGGCGGGAUGCCAAGUCAGCGGUAAAAAUGCGGUGCUCAACGCCGUCGAGCCGUUGAAACUGGCGUUCUUGAGUGGGCGAGAAGUAUGCGGAAUGCGUGGUGUAGCGGUGAAAUGCAUAGAUAUCACGCAGAACUCCGAUUGCGAAGGCAGCAUACCGGCGCCCUACUGACGCUGAGGCACGAAAGCGUGGGUAUCGAACAGGAUUAGAUACCCUGGUAGUCCACGCAGUAAACGAUGAAUGCUAACUGUCCGGCGCGAAUGAGCGCUGGGCGGUACAGCGAAAGCGUUAAGCAUUCCACCUGGGGAGUACGCCGGCAACGGUGAAACUCAAAGGAAUUGACGGGGGCCCGCACAAGCGGAGGAACAUGUGGUUUAAUUCGAUGAUACGCGAGGAACCUUACCCGGGCUCAAACGCAGGAUGACGGGUCCCGAAAGGGGCCUUUCUUCGGACAUUCUGCGAGGUGCUGCAUGGUUGUCGUCAGCUCGUGCCGUGAGGUGUCGGCUUAAGUGCCAUAACGAGCGCAACCCCUGUUCACAGUUGCCAGCAGGUAAAGCUGGGGACUCUGUGGAGACUGCCGGCGCAAGCUGCGAGGAAGGCGGGGAUGACGUCAAAUCAGCACGGCCCUUACGUCCGGGGCGACACACGUGUUACAAUGGCAGGUACAGCGGGAUGCCACGGGGCGACCCGGCGCUGAACCCGAAAACCUGUCUCAGUUCGGAUUGGAGUCUGCAACCCGACUCCAUGAAGCUGGAUUCGCUAGUAAUCGCGCAUCAGCCACGGCGCGGUGAAUACGUUCCCGGGCCUUGUACACACCGCCCGUCAAGCCAUGGAAGCCGGGGGUACCUGAAGUGCGUGACCGCGAGGAGCGCCCUAGGGUAAAACCGGUGACUGGGGCU